CGGGUGAGUAACACGUGGGUGAUCUGCCUUGCACUUCGGGAUAAGCCUGGGAAACUGGGUCUAAUACCGGAUAUGACCACGAACUGCAUGGUUUGUGGUGGAAAGAUUUAUCGGUGCGAGAUGGGCCCGCGGCCUAUCAGCUUGUUGGUGAGGUAACGGCCCACCAAGGCGACGACGGGUAGCCGACCUGAGAGGGUGACCGGCCACACUGGGACUGAGACACGGCCCAGACUCCUACGGGAGGCAGCAGUGGGGAAUAUUGCACAAUGGGCGAAAGCCUGAUGCAGCGACGCCGCGUGCGGGAUGACGGCCUUCGGGUUGUAAACCGCUUUUGACAGGGACGAAGCGCAAGUGACUGUACCUGUAGAAUAAGGACCGGCCAACUACGUGCCAGCAGCCGCGGUAAUACGUAGGGUCCGAGCGUUGUCCGGAAUUACUGGGCGUAAAGAGCUUGUAGGCGGUUCGUCGCGUCGUUUGUGAAAACUUGGGGCUCAACCUUAAGCUUGCAGGCGAUACGGGCGGACUAGAGUACUUCAGGGGAGACUGGAAUUCCUGGUGUAGCGGUGAAAUGCGCAGAUAUCAGGAGGAACACCGGUGGCGAAGGCGGGUCUCUGGGAAGUAACUGACGCUGAGAAGCGAAAGCAUGGGUAGCAAACAGGAUUAGAUACCCUGGUAGUCCAUGCCGUAAACGGUGAGUACUAGGUGUGGGGCUCCUUCCACGGACUCCGUGCCGUAGCUAACGCAUUAAGUACCCCGCCUGGGGAGUACGGCCGCAAGGCUAAAACUCAAAGAAAUUGACGGGGGCCCGCACAAGCGGCGGAGCAUGUGGAUUAAUUCGAUGCAACGCGAAGAACCUUACCUGGGUUUGACAUACACCGGAAACCUGCAGAGAUGUAGGCCCCCUUGUGGUCGGUGUACAGGUGGUGCAUGGCUGUCGUCAGCUCGUGUCGUGAGAUGUUGGGUUAAGUCCCGCAACGAGCGCAACCCUUAUCUUAUGUUGCCAGCGCGUAAUGGCGGGGACUCGUGAGAGACUGCCGGGGUCAACUCGGAGGAAGGUGGGGACGACGUCAAGUCAUCAUGCCCCUUAUGUCCAGGGCUUCACACAUGCUACAAUGGCCGGUACAGAGGGCUGCGAUACCGCGAGGUGGAGCGAAUCCCUUAAAGCCGGUCUCAGUUCGGAUCGGGGUCUGCAACUCGACCCCGUGAAGUUGGAGUCGCUAGUAAUCGCAGAUCAGCAACGCUGCGGUGAAUACGUUCCCGGGCCUUGUACACACCGCCCGUCACGUCAUGAAAGUCGGUAACA
rnacentral:rRNA from 1 species